UCACAGGUAUUGGUGCUUCUUGCCUGAGU
rnacentral:piRNA from 1 species